CAAAUAAGCAAAACUGGAGUUUUGCCAGAUUCGGGCGCCCAGAACACGGUUUAGGUCGCUCAGAACUGAGUGCUGAAAUUAACUGAAACUGGAAGCUAAUUCGGAUCCUAUGUUCCGGGCGCCCAGAAGUGGGUCCGGAAAUUUUACAUAGUGAAUAUCGUUUGUGUUGACACGUGGCUGGUGGUAGGUGAGGUCCGCCGGAGCCGUUUACGGGCGCAGCACACCGCGGGAGGAGGAAUCGAAGGGGAGCAUUUGUGCAGGCUGAAAGUUCUGGACGCCCAGAACUUAGUUUAGAGCGCCCAGAUCUCGGAUUUUCUGCAGGGACAGCAGAUUUCAGCAAUUGUUCCUGAGGGUUAUCUGACCACUCCAGCACCCUAUAAAUACCUGGUGUACGUCCCCUUUGAGCUCUUUUCACCUGUCCUUCACAGAGAACCCUGAAUUUGCUCUUCAAUCCCUCAAAUCUUCUUAAUUUGCAUCAAGAUCCACAACUCCAAGAUUUGCAAGGUGCUGAUUCUGCAGUUUUUCCAGCGACGACCUUCAGUGUUUUUGCUCGUGCGCGACGUAGGGAAGUCGGAUUGUGACGAAACUUAGUUUGUUGGAUUCUAGACUUCCAGAGGAAUCCAGGAAGUCCUGAAUUGCAGAUUUUGGUUAAGGUUAACUCAGUCAAUUUUGCAGGUUUCUGGACUGCUAUGGUUUUGGACCUGAUUUUUGGAUUUCUUGAACUUUCUUGAUACGAUCUUUGGAAACAGUGGGAUUUUGGACCUGAGACUCAUACUCCAUCACUACUCACUGCUUUUGGAACUCCACCUCAACUGAUUUGGAGUCGGAAGGUCUAGAGUUUGAAGAACUCUUGUUGCUGACUUGGAGGAGCUUCGGUUUAUCCAGCAGAGGAAGUCCUUGUGGUUCGAGACCUCCUUGCUGUCAGGAAGUGCUUUAGAGAGUCGUCGCCUUCGACUACUGCUGUUGUUGAUCUGGACCGAUGCUAGGGCGUCGCGAGUUAGAGCCCUACCCGACGAACCGAGCUAGAGGUGCCCCUACUGCAGAUAGUUGUUUUGUUGG